UGGUGAGGUAACGGCUCACCAAGGCGACGAUGGGUAGCCGGCCUGAGAGGGUGAACGGCCACACUGGGACUGAGACACGGCCCAGACUCCUACGGGAGGCAGCAGUAGGGAAUAUUGCGCAAUGGAGGGAACUCUGACGCAGCGACGCCGCGUGAGCGAUGAAGGUUUUCGGAUCGUAAAGCUCUGUCCUUGGGGAAGAAGGGAGUCGAAAGACGCCUUGACGGUACCCAUGGAGGAAGCCCCGGCUAACUACGUGCCAGCAGCCGCGGUAAUACGUAGGGGGCAAGCGUUGUCCGGAAUUAUUGGGCGUAAAGGGUGCGUAGGCGGCCCUUUAAGUCAGAUGUGAAAGCCCACGGCUUAACCGUGGGAUUGCAUUUGAAACUGGAGGGCUUGAGUGUCGGAGAGGGUAGUGGAAUUCCCAGUGUAGCGGUGGAAUGCGUAGAUAUUGGGAGGAACACCAGUGGCGAAGGCGACUGCCUGGACGAUAACUGACGCUGAGGCACGAAAGCUAGGGGAGCAAACAGGAUUAGAUACCCUGGUAGUCCUAGCCGUAAACGAUGGGUACUAGGUGUAGGAGGUUUCGAUACCUUCUGUGCCGCAGUUAA
rnacentral:rRNA from 1 species